rnacentral:rRNA from 1 species
CAGUCGCCACGGUAAUACGAGGGGGGCAAGCGUUGUUCGGAAUUAUUGGGCGUAAAGGGUGCGUAGGCGGCUUGACAAGUCUUGUGUGAAAUCUAUGGGCUCAACCCAUAGUCUGCACGGGAAACUGUCGGGCUUGAGAAUGGGAGAGGUGAGUGGAAUUUCCGGUGUAGCGGUGAAAUGCGAAGAUAUCGGAAGGAACACCUGUGGCGAAAGCGGCUCACUGGACCAUUUCUGACGCUGAUGCACGAAAGCUAGGGGAGCAAACAGGAUUAGAUACCCCGGUAGUCCCUGUAUCUUAUAC